CGGCGUGCCUAAUACAUGCAAGUCGAACGCACUCUCGUUAGAUUGAAGAAGCUUGCUUCUGAUUGAUAACAUUUGAGUGAGUGGCGGACGGGUGAGUAACACGUGGGUAACCUGCCCUAAAGUGGGGGAUAACAUUUGGAAACAGAUGCUAAUACCGCAUAAAACCUAGCACCGCAUGGUGCAAGGUUGAAAGAUGGUUUCGGCUAUCACUUUAGGAUGGACCCGCGGUGCAUUAGUUAGUUGGUGAGGUAAAGGCUCACCAAGACCGUGAUGCAUAGCCGACCUGAGAGGGUAAUCGGCCACACUGGGACUGAGACACGGCCCAGACUCCUACGGGAGGCAGCAGUAGGGAAUCUUCCACAAUGGACGAAAGUCUGAUGGAGCAACGCCGCGUGAGUGAAGAAGGUUUUUCGGAUCGUAAAACUCUGUUGUUGGAGAAGAACGUAUUUGAUAGUAACUGAUCAGGUAGUGACGGUAUCCAACCAGAAAGCCACGGCUAACUACGUG
rnacentral:rRNA from 1 species